GAUUUACCAAUUAAAUUGGUCACGCCAGCACAUUCUCGAUAUAUAUUGUCAAAUUAAAUUGGAAUGUACGAAGUAAAAUUUAUCCGUACUUCAUAAUGCAAAUUAAUACUUUACCAAACUUAUGGAAUAAAUUGAAUAUGCGUAAAUGUCACGUACUGAAAAACAUUACUGGAACGAUUAAAUAAAAUAGUGAAUAAAGAAUGACAACGUACAUGGCUUUGCUUCUCCAUUAUUUUCGAAGUUCCAUUUCUUUUACUUUUUUUUAAGUCUUCAAUUUGAUAAAGACCUUCUCUGCACCUUCUUCGAUCAGCACUUAUGAUGAAAGUUUUGGUAUAGUACUUAUACAGCUAGCCAUGCGAAUUGUUACACUUAUAAAAAAAUUCAUAUGUUUAUAACGGUUGUUAGUUCAAAACAUGUGAAUUCAUUUUGAAAAAAAAUUGGAUAAAUUUAGAAUCUAUAUAGAAAAAAAAAAUUAUUUUUUUAAUAAUGUGCAUCACUUUUUUCAAAUAAAGUACUUGUGCCUUGCCAAUAAGCUUCAUUUAUAACAUGAGAAUAAAAUUGUGCCUAAAUCAUGUUCUCAUGUCUUUUAUCGUGAGGAAGUCAAAUUCAUGAAUUUUCUUUAAAUCUUUUUGUGUUGGUACGUAGGGACGAAUAUGAGUUUAUCCAGAAGAUUGUUCAAGAUGUGUCAACAAGUUUACCAAAUCGUUUUGACUUGAAUGUUACUGAGAAUCCGGUGGGAAUAGAGUCUCAUGUAAAUUAUGUUAUGGAGACGCUUUUAUGUCUUGACACGCAUGAUAGGGAUUUUUGGUAGUGGUGAAGUUGGUAAAACAACUAUUACAAAAGAGAUGUAUGACCUCAUUGCUAAGAAGUUUGAAGGCUGUUGUUUUCUUGCUGAUUUUAGAGAAUCUUCAAAACAAAAUCAAGGCUGUCUCAAACAGUUGCAAGAGACAAUUCUUUCUAACAUUCUAGGAAAGUCACCAAGUUUGAGUGUUGAUAAUGAUCAUCAAGGAAUGGAAUUGAUAAGGAAUAGACUUUGCCGUAAAAAAAUUCUUUUGGUUCUUGAUGAUGUUGAUUGUUUGGACCAAUUAAAAAAAUUAUGUGGAAAAUACGAUUGGUUUGGUUCUGGGAGUCGAAUCAUCAUAACAACAAGGGAUAAGAGUUUACUAACUAAGCAUAGUGUUAGUUUGAAUUAUCCUAGAAAGGAAAUGGAUCACGAUGAAGCCCUUCAGCUCUUUACCCAGCAUGCCUUCAAAAGUGAGAAACCUAUUGAUGGUUUUGAGGAUCUCUUAGAGGAUGCACUAUAUUAUGCUGGUGGCCUUCCACUCGCCUUAAAAGUGGUAGGCUCAAAUCUAUGUGGAGAAGAUAGAAAUUAUUGGAAAAGCGAAUUAAAAAAGUACAAAAGAAUUCUAGAAGAAAAUAUCCAGGAAAAACUCAAAAUAAGUUACGAUGGAUUAGAUUAUUGUACAAAAAAGAUUUUCCUUGACAUUGCAUGUCUCUUCAAAGGAGACGAUAAAACAUAUGUCAUUAAAAUAUUGGGCAGUUGUGGUUUCUUUCCCGAUGAUGGUAUCAAAAAGUUCAAUGAUAAAUGUCUCAUAACUAUUGAUAAAAUUGACCGAUUGGGGGAUGCAUGACUUACUACAAGAUAUGGGAAGAGAAAUUGUCCGACAAGAAUCACCCGAAGAACCUGGCAAACGCAGUAGAUUAUAGUUUAAUGAAGAUGUUCAUGAAGUACUUGAAAAAAAUAAGGGAACAAAGCAUAUUAAGGCAUAUUGAUAAAUUUACCUUGGGGUGACCGCAAGAUACUUUUGGGUUCUAAGGUGUUUGCAAAAAUGGAAAGACUCAGAAUAUUAAUAGUUAGAAGCGACAAUCAAACUUUUUGUGACAGAUUGAAUUAUCUCUCUAAUGAGUUAAGAGUUCUUGAUUGGCCUAAAUGCUCUUUGGAGUUUUUGCCAUCUUCUUUUUAUGGAGAGAGACUCAUUGUUCUCAAUAUCAAAGGAGCCAAGAUUAGAGAUUUAGGCACAGGAUUGCAAUCUAAGAAGUUAACAAGUAUAGAUCUCGGUUACUGUGAAUACUUGACAAGUAUAUCUGAUCUUUCAAGUUGCUCAAAUCUAGAGAAGUUGAUUUUUGAUGGAUGUAAAAGUUUAGUUGAGGUUCAU